rnacentral:lncRNA from 1 species
CUGAGAAUGAGUGUCUAAUGUCCAUGCAUUUCCGGUUUUGUGCCUCGAGAUAAUUAUGGACAAACGACUCAGCGCCUUGCUUUUCUGGGAGGACAGCUCAGCCAGCCAGGACCGCUGAAGGCCAGCGGCCUCAGGCUGUGCUGGGCUGCUGGUGAAGGGAGCUGCAGAGCGCAGAGUGGUGCCGUGCCUGCUGCCAGCAAACUUCCAGCUCGGUGUCUCCCUGCUCAUCAAAACCACCAGGGGAUCCACGAGGGACAAAGAGGUAUUUUAAGAUUACAUAGGCCUGACAGCAAGAUUUGGCUUCCAGUGGAGUCAUAUGCUCCAUCUGGCCAUGUGAAAGGAUUUGCCUGCUUCCUGCAAACAGUAUUAGAGCGAUUCUCUCUUUUUAAAGUGCUCAGUUUAGUCCUUGAAAGUAUAGUUCAACAAGAGGUAAAUAUACCGAUUAGAAGAGAAUGCCUGCAUUUUCAAGCCCUGUUUUCUCUUAUCACGGUAAACAGCUUUUCAUGUUGUUAAUUAACAGCUCAAGCUCAAGUUCGGGCUCAAAACCAGAUCAGUCUUCUGCUCUUAUUAUUUCUAUACAACGUCAGCCUGUUGGUUAAAACUUCUUUUCUCUAAUUCCCUGGAUUAGUUCCUUCACAGUCAGUUUAUGCGCUUUUGUUUUCAUGCAUGGAUGUACUGUAGAUAAACUCCUACUACUCUCCUGUUUAUUUUCCUGCACUAUGGGCAGCAAUCCUUACCCUGCUAAUUAACCUCUUACAAAGCAGAUAAAAUAAUUUCUAUGGCCUUCUCCCCUGGGACUGACUCUCCAUUUCUCAGAGAUCUUAGUAGCCAUCCCUGUACGUAUCCCAGUUCAUAUUCCUCUCUCCUCAAUAUGGUCAAGGUAUUUCAGAGAGGAUCUUAGUGAGGCCUUGGGGUGUGCGUUAGCUGGAAAUACCCCUUUAAAUACAUUCUGGGAUUAUAUUUGCCUUUUUUUUUUCUCUCAUGGCUGCCUUACAUCAAUGGCUCAAAGCUAUCAUGAGAUCAAACAGUAUACUCUUUUAUCACUUGCACUUGCAUAACUUGCAGUUUGUUUCAUCCUGCUUACUUUACUCUCCUUUUCAAAAAAAAUAUUUUGUAGGGAUUCUGUUCAGAUCCUUUCCUGACGAUACAUCCCCAAUUUGUGUAGUUUACAAAUCUCAUUACCACAUUUCUUGAUCCAGGUCACCAAGGAAAACAAUGUAGAAGACUGGUCCCAAAAUAUGUUAUUUCUGAGUAAUAAAUGAAUACGCCACACAGUCGUCUAUGCA